UACGUAGGGGGCUAGCGUUGUCCGGAUUUAUUGGGCGUAAAGCGCACGUAGGCGGCUUCUUAAGUCAGGGGUGAAAUCCUGGAGCUCAACUCCAGAACUGCCUUUGAUACUGAGAAGCUUGAGUCCGGGAGAGGUGAGUGGAACUGCGAGUGUAGAGGUGAAAUUCGUAGAUAUUCGCAAGAACACCAGUGGCGAAGGCGGCUCACUGGCCCGAUACUGACGCUGAGGCACGAAAGCGUGGGGAGCAAACAGGGAU
rnacentral:rRNA from 1 species